rnacentral:lncRNA from 1 species
AUUCCUUUUGACAGUAUAGAGCAUCGACAUCUAAAAUGAAAGGCAUACAGUAGUGGUAGUCUCUUGGUGACCGAGAAUGAUUAUUGUCUUUGUGCAUUAUCAUCUACAGUGUAUCCUCAUAUGGCUUUGGAGUUCAAAGACCUCAUGAGGCACAGAGUUUGUGGCAGAUGGGGCAUGGAACACCAGUUGUUACUGGAGGUGUGGUUGUGACCUGGAGUCAGCAAUUACGUGUAGCAGCAAGAUGUUGACGUCGCUUCUCUUCAAAGUGUAUCCUCAUAUGGCUUUGGAGUUCAAAGACUGAGGCACAGAAUUUGUGGCAGAUGGGGCAUGGAAUGCAUCCUUUGUUCCAAAAUGUGUGUAGUGGAGAUUUUUAGAGGUGAACAUAAUCCACAACAUUUUGCACUGGCUUUGAAACGGUUUACUCUUGACUUUGCAAGACCGCAUACAUAGAUGCUUAAUCUUUGCUUUUCCACACCAAUAACGAUGAAAAUCAUACCAUAAAUCACGUAUGAUUUUACCAACGUGUGCUGUGAUCUUAAGCAUUUUCCUAUUUGCACACAAUUUUUUGCUCUAUGCAAAAUUUUAUCUUAUGUAAUCAUUAACAUUAUAGAACUGUCUUAUGUUGUAAAAGUAUGCGCAGCUUUAUCAGGCAGUUGCAUAGGUGUUAUAGUUAAGCUAUAAUAGUUAAAUUCAUAACUAAAAAGAUUUCAAUACUGUGACUAGAGUUAUUAGUUUCAUUCAUAAACUUUUAUAAAAUUUCACUGUAAAAAUAGGUCACAUUGUGCAGGUAGCAUUUGGAUUUGCAUUAUUAUCAUAGGUUUUAAAUUAAUAUUAUGAUCAGCUUCAAUAUCUAUAGUUUGAGUGAGUGGCAGUAGUGCCCAUUUAAAUCACCAAUAAAUCAUGGUACUGGCUAACA